GACAGAGGGUGCAAACGUUGUUCGGAAUUACUGGGCGUAAAGCGCGUGUAGGCGGCGGCGCAAGUCGGGUGUGAAAGCCCAGGGCUCAACCCUGGAAGUGCACUCGAUACUGCGACGCUAGAGUCCCGGAGAGGUUGGUGGAACUCUCGGUGUAGAGGUGUAAUUCGUAGAUAUCGAGAAGAACACCGGUGGCGAAGGCGGCCAACUGGACGGUGACUGACGCUGAGACGCGAAAGCGUGGGGAGCAAACAGG
rnacentral:rRNA from 1 species